rnacentral:rRNA from 1 species
AACGUAGGACACAAGCGUUAUCCGGAGUUACUGGGCGUAAAGGGCGUUUAGGCGGGUGAUUAAGUUCGCUAUGAAAGCGCCGGGCUAAACUCGGCGAGGCUGGCGGAUACUGGUCGUCUGGAGUGAGUCAGAGGAAGGUAGAAUUCCGCGUGUAGUGGUGAAAUGCGUAGAGAUGCGGAGGAAUACCAGUGGCGAAGGCGGCCUUCUGGGACUCAACUGACGCUGAAGCGCGAAAGCAUGGGGAGCGAACGGG